AAUCAGGAGUAGAAAGUCAUAACUUUAUCCGUCGCUGUACAGAGUUCAUUAUCUUUUACAGUUUCUCUGUAGAUCCACCGAAGAUUUUGGUUUGAAAUCCCGAACUGAAGAACAGAGAAUCCAGGAAAUGGCGAAGGCAGAGGAGGUUUUCGUUGGGUCAAUCGAUCAAGGAACCACCAGCACCAGAUUCAUCAUCUACGAUCGCCGUUCUCGAGCCAUCGGAUCUCACCAGGCCGAGUUCACUCAAUUUUACCCUGAAGCCGGAUGGGUGGAGCAUGAUCCGAUGGAAAUUCUGGAGAGCGUGAAGGUUUGUAUGGCCAAAGCCCUAGAUAAGGCCACCGCGGCGGGUUACAAUGUGGAUAAUGGAUUGAAGGCGAUUGGUUUGACCAAUCAGAGAGAGACAACUCUGGUUUGGAGUAAAUCUACUGGCUCUCCCCUCCAUAACGCCAUUGUUUGGAUGGAUGCUCGUACCAGUUCUAUUUGCAGAAAAUUGGAGAAGGAAUUAUCUGGUGGGAGAACCCAUUUUGUGGAUACUUGUGGUCUUCCCAUAAGCACCUAUUUCAGUGCAGUGAAGUUGAUUUGGCUGAUGGAAAAUGUGGAGGAUGUUAGGGAAAGUAUAAAGAAGGGAGAUGCUUUAUUUGGUACUGUAGACACUUGGUUGAUAUGGAACUUAACUGGCGGUGUCAAUGGAGGAUUACAUGUGACUGAUGUUUCGAAUGCAUCACGAACGAUGUUGAUGAACCUCAAGACUCUUGAUUGGGACAAACCUACAUUGGAAACACUAGGAAUACCAGCAAAAAUCUUGCCGAAGAUUGUCAGCAACUCUGAGGUCAUUGGGAAAAUAUCCCUAGGUUGGCCAAUUACUGGUGUUCCCAUUUCAGGAUGUUUAGGUGACCAACAUGCUGCAAUGCUUGGUCAAGCUUGUAGGAGAGGUGAGGCCAAAAGCACAUAUGGGACUGGUGCUUUUAUACUUCUCAAUACAGGGGAAGAGGUUGUUCAAUCCAAGCAUGGCCUUCUAACCACUUUGGCAUUCAAGCUUGGGCCGGUUGCUCCGACAAAUUAUGCUCUCGAAGGCUCCAUUGCCAUCGCUGGAGCUGCAGUUCAGUGGCUGAGAGACAGUCUUGGAAUUAUUAGCAGUGCAAAAGAGAUCGAGGAAUUGGCAUCACAGGUUCAGUCCACCGGUGGGGUUUAUUUUGUACCUGCCUUUAAUGGGUUGUUUGCUCCAUGGUGGCGUGAUGAUGCUCGUGGAGUCUGUAUUGGGAUCACAAGGUUUACUAGCAAGGCUCAUAUUGCUCGAGCCGUGCUUGAGAGUAUGUGUUUUCAAGUGAAGGACGUGUUGGAUUCGAUGCACAAAGAUGCUGGAGAGAAGGGUGAGGUAAAGAAUGAGAAAGGGGAAUUCUUGCUUAGAGUGGAUGGUGGUGCUACUGUCAACAAUCUUUUAAUGCAAAUUCAGGCAGAUCUGUUGGGAAGCCCAGUGGUGAGACCGGCCGACAUUGAGACAACUGCACUUGGAGCAGCUUAUGCAGCAGGAUUAGCUGUUGGAGUUUGGAGUAAAGAUGAGAUUUUUGACUCAGGAGAAAGGGUUAAGAGUGCAACCACUUUCCAUCCUGUAUUAGAAGAAGAGCUGAGGAAGAAGAAGGUGGAAUCAUGGUGCAAAGCUGUCUCAAGAACCUUUGAUUUGGCUGAUCUUUCUCUUUGAUGGCAUCUUCUUCAACUUUAUAAUGUCAAAGGAAUACAAGCGACUCCAUUGAAGCUUUGAAGAGGACAUCUAUAAUUUCAUCACAUUUAUCAACAGCCAAGAAAAACUUUGAAGUUUGAUUUGGAAGGAUACAUUUUAGGAGGCUGCAAAACUCCAACUGAAUGCUUCUAAGUCAAUGAAUGCUCCAUCUUCUUCUUCUAGCUUAACAGAUUGGUUGUUUGUUGAUAAAAUAGGGCUUGAACAUUUGUGUUCAAUAUAUGAUCCACAAAGAUAAGGAUUA